rnacentral:rRNA from 1 species
AUGCCACUUCCACGCCUCGUCCGUUGCGCACCGUGCGGCCAGACAGACGGGGCGCGAGAGCUGGAGCGCGUAUGGGUACAGCCGGUUGCCGGCGCGCUGCACCUUUGCCAUGAUUCGACGCUGCUGGUCGUAGAGGGUGAAGACGCCGUGCUCUAUCUCCGACCUGCACCCGGUUUGGUCGAGUUGCCCGAUGCUGAUGAUGUUGCUCUUCAGCCGCGGGAUGAAGUAGACACCGCUCAGGACGCGGUGGCCGCCGGCGUGGUCGGUGAAGAGCACACUUCCGCGCCCUCGAAUGUCGACGACCGAUCUGUCUCCGAACUUGACGGUGCCGGUGACGUGACGGUCGAGCUCACUGAACGAGGCUUCCUCGCCGGACAUAUGGUUGUUGGCCCCUGUGUCCAAGUACCAGACGCCGGAGUGAGCGUCCGUGGCCAGGCCCAGAUGAGCUUCCACGCGCUCUUCGACCAGGUCGACGUGUCCGUCACGAUCGCUUGGAACCGCGGACAGAUCACACACCUACGCCAUGAGGAGGUGCGUGGGAUCGGCGUCGUCCCCGCCGUGCCCUUGGGCGAGAAGGGCCUUCGCCUCCUCGUCGCGCUUCUUCUUCCUGCAGUCACGGGCCCAGUGGCCGCUGAUGCCGCAGUAGCGACACUUGUCGCGAUCGUCGUCGUUGCCGGUGCCACCGGCGUUUCCUCUGCCAGCACCCCCGUUCUGGCCGCGUCCGCCGCCACCGCCGCGGCGCCCACGGCCCCUUCCACGCCGGCCUCGAGACGAGCCGAAGCCCGAGCCACCAGCGUGAGAAUCGCCGUUCUUGAGACGGCGUUCCACUCCUCUUCAGUGAGAAGCAGGCGCCCCACGCUAUCAGUGCUCUACUGCAGCUCAUGGCGUUCCUCCGCCGCUUUCAGUCUCCCAGUCAGCUCCUCAACAGAGAGCUGA